AACCGGAUUUUAUACCCUGGUAGUCCACGCCGUAAACGAUGUCGACUUGGAGGUUGUUCCCUUGAGGAGUGGCUUCCGGAGCUAACGCGUUAAGUCGACCGCCUGGGGAGUACGGCCGCAAGGUUAAAACUCAAAUGAAUUGACGGGGGCCCGCACAAGCGGUGGAGCAUGUGGUUUAAUUCGAUGCAACGCGAAGAACCUUACCUACUCUUGACAUCCACGGAAUUUGGCAGAGAUGCUUUAGUGCCUUCGGGAACCGUGAGACAGGUGCUGCAUGGCUGUCGUCAGCUCGUGUUGUGAAAUGUUGGGUUAAGUCCCGCAACGAGCGCAACCCUUAUCCUUUGUUGCCAGCGAUUCGGUCGGGAACUCAAAGGAGACUGCCGGUGAUAAACCGGAGGAAGGUGGGGAUGACGUCAAGUCAUCAUGGCCCUUACGAGUAGGGCUACACACGUGCUACAAUGGCGCAUACAAAGAGAAGCGACCUCGCGAGAGCAAGCGGACCUCACAAAGUGCGUCGUAGUCCGGAUCGGAGUCUGCAACUCGACUCCGUGAAGUCGGAAUCGCUAGUAAUCGUGGAUCAGAAUGCCACGGUGAAUACGUUCCCGGGCCUUGUACACACCGCCCGUCACACCAUGGGAGUGGGUUGCAAAAGAAGUAGGUAGCUUAACCUUCGGGAGGGCGCUUACCACUUUGUGAUUCAUGACUGGGGUGAAGUCGUAACAAGGUAACCGUAGGGGAACCUGCGGCUGGAUCACCUCCUU
rnacentral:rRNA from 1 species